rnacentral:sRNA from 1 species
GCCAGGUGAGGUGGCACACACCUGUAAUCCCAGCAGCUUGGGAGGCUGAGGCAGGAGGAUCGUGAGUUCAAAGCCAGCUUCGACAAUGGUGAGGUACUAUGUAACUAAGUGAGACCCUGUCUCUA